CCUGGCUCCCACCCCUGAGCGGUGGGUGGGGGCCCUAAAUACUAAUAAGGGGGGGAACUAAUGUCCUCCCCCCUGACCCCCACCCCUGAGCGGUGGGUGGGGGCCCUAGAGUAAAAUAGGGGGGGACCUAAUGUCCUCCCCUUUGCCCCCACCCCUGAGUGGUGGGUGGAGGCCCUAAAUACUAAUAAGGGGGGGACCUAAUGUCCUCCUCCCUGACCCCCACCCCUGAGUGGUGG